AUGGAAAUAAACGAAAUAGGUACGUUUGAUUCUUAUUUUGUUGGUUUCUAGGAUCGACGUAAUGAUUAAUAGGGAUAGUUGGGGGCAUUAGUAUUCAAUUGUCAGAGGUGAAAUUCUUGGAUUUAUUGAAGACUAACUACUGCGAAAGCAUUUGCCAAGGAUGUUUUCAUUAAUCAAGAACGAAAGUUAGGGGAUCGAAGACGAUCAGAUACCGUCGUAGUCUUAACCAUAAACUAUGCCGACUAGGGAUCGGAUGAUGUUAAUUUUUUAAUGACUCAUUCGGCGCCUUACG
rnacentral:rRNA from 1 species